rnacentral:rRNA from 1 species
GAUGAACGGUAGCGAUAGGCUUAACACAUGCAAGUCGAGGGGCAGCAUGGUCUUAGCUUGCUAAGGCUGAUGGCGACCGGCGCACGGGUGCGUAACGCGUAUGCAACUUGCCUCACAGAGGGGGAUAACCCGUCGAAAGACGGACUAAUACCGCGUACACUUGGGAUAGGGCAUCCUGACCCAAGGAAAUGAAAUUCGCUGUGAGAUAGGCAUGCGUCCCAUUAGCUAGUUGGUGAGGUAACGGCUCACCAAGGCGACGAUGGGUAGGGGAACUGAGAGGUUGAACCCCCACACUGGUACUGAGACACGGACCAGACUCCUACGGGAGGCAGCAGUGAGGAAUAUUGGUCAAUGGGCGAGAGCCUGAACCAGCCAAGUCGCGUGAAGGAUGACUGUCUUAUGGAUUGUAAACUUCUUUUAUACGGGAAUAACAAGAGUCACGUGUGACUCCCUGCAUGUACCGUAUGAAUAAGCAUCGGCUAACUCCGUGCCAGCAGCCGCGGUAAUACGGAGGAUGCGAGCGUUAUCCGGAUUUAUUGGGUUUAAAGGGUGCGUAGGCGGCCUGUUAAGUCAGCGGUGAAAUCUAGGAGCUUAACUCCUAAAUUGCCAUUGAUACUGGCGGGCUUGAGUGUAGAUGAGGUAGGCGGAAUGCGUGGUGUAGCGGUGGAAUGCAUAGAUAUCACGCAGAACUCCGAUUGCGAAGGCAGCUUACUAAGGUACAACUGACGCUGAAGCACGAAAGCGUGGGUAUCAAACAGG